AUUGCGCAUGCGGGAAACCCACGCUGAGGGAAGAAUCAUGGGAAAGAGUAGAGACGGGGUUCCACCGUGUUAGCCAGGAUGGUCUCGAUUUCCUGACCUCGUCAUCCUCCCGCCUUGGCCUCCCAAAGUGCUGGGAUUACAGGCUUGAGCCACCGCGCCCCGCUCUUUCGUGUUCCAAAGGCUUUUUAAAUAAACUUCCACUCCUGUCCUGGAUUCUGCUUUAUGGCCCUCAGUCGAAUUCUUUCUUCUGAGGAGGCAAGGACUGAAGUUGCUUCUGACCAGUACAGGACCUGGAAGAAGUCAUGCCACGGGCCAGACCUUAACAUUCCUUUCGGCUUACCCCAGGAUUUCAGACAAAGCUUCACUUUCCUAACCAGUCACAAAUCAGAGAAUUUUUGAUUCCACCUAUGACCUGUGAGCUCCUGCUUCAAGAUAUUCCACCUUUUUUAGGCCAAACCAAUGUAUAACCUCCAAGUGUCGAUUUACACUUUCGACUGUAACUUCUGCUUUCCUGAGAUUUACCCCUGCCUUUAAAAACCCUUGCUUGUAAUCCCUCAGGGAGGCCGUGUAUUUAUUAAUCAUGAGCUGCCCAAUUCUCCUUGCUUGGUGCCCUGCAAAUAAACACCCUCUUUUCUCCCACUGCAAAA
rnacentral:lncRNA from 1 species